CUGCUGUUUGGAGGCGUCGCCAUGGAGACCGGAAGGCUCAGGGACCCCCAAGAGGACUUUCUCUAGCCUCUCUAGCCUGUUUUGUCAUUCAUAUGUACUCAGCAGAGAUGGAGAACUCAGCCUGCCUUACACAAUAAGUGAAUGUUAAAUGUGUAUGAACGGGCUGGAGAGAUGGCUCAGUGGUUAAGAGCGCUGACUGCACUUCCAGAGGUCCUGAGUUCAAAUCCCAGCAAC